GCUUGACCUCGGAUCAGGUAGGGAUACCCGCUGAACUUAAGCAUAU
rnacentral:rRNA from 1 species